rnacentral:rRNA from 1 species
CGAACGGUAACAGGUUAAGCUGACGAGUGGCGAACGGGUGAGUAAUGUAUCGGAACGUGCCCAGUCGUGGGGGAUAACUGCUCGAAAGAGCAGCUAAUACCGCAUACGACCUGAGGGUGAAAGCGGGGGAUCGCAAGACCUCGCGCGAUUGGAGCGGCCGAUAUCAGAUUAGGUAGUUGGUGGGGUAAAGGCUCACCAAGCCAACGAUCUGUAGCUGGUCUGAGAGGACGACCAGCCACACUGGGACUGAGACACGGCCCAGACUCCUACGGGAGGCAGCAGUGGGGAAUUUUGGACAAUGGGCGCAAGCCUGAUCCAGCCAUGCCGCGUGCGGGAAGAAGGCCUUCGGGUUGUAAACCGCUUUUGUCAGGGAAGAAAAGGUUCUGGCUAAUACCUGGGACUCAUGACGGUACCUGAAGAAUAAGCACCGGCUAACUACGUGCCAGCAGCCGCGGUAAUACGUAGGGUGCAAGCGUUAAUCGGAAUUACUGGGCGUAAAGCGUGCGCAGGCGGUUAUGCAAGACAGAGGUGAAAUCCCCGGGCUCAACCUGGGAACUGCCUUUGUGACUGCAUAGCUAGAGUGCGGCAGAGGGGGAUGGAAUUCCGCGUGUAGCAGUGAAAUGCGUAGAUAUGCGGAGGAACACCGAUGGCGAAGGC